AUCUCGUUUAGAUCACCGCAGUCAAGCAUCAUUGGGCGCGGUCAGUACUUGGGUGGGUGACCACCUGGGAACACCGCGUGCCGUU